GACGAACGCUGGCGGCGUGCCUAAUACAUGCAAGUCGAACGCACUCUCGUUUAGAUUGAAGGAGUUUGCUCCUGAUUGAUAAACAUUUGGGUGAGUGGCGGACGGGUGAGUAACACGUGGGUAACCUGCCCUAAAGUGGGGGAUAACAUUUGGAAACAGAUGCUAAUACCGCAUAAAACCUAACACCGCAUGGUGUAGGGUUGAAAGAUGGUUUCGGCUAUCACUUUAGGAUGGACCCGCGGUGCAUUAGUUAGUUGGUGAGGUAAAGGCUCACCAAGACCGUGAUGCAUAGCCGACCUGAGAGGGUAAUCGGCCACACUGGGACUGAGACACGGCCCAGACUCCUACGGGAGGCAGCAGUAGGGAAUCUUCCACAAUGGACGAAAGUCUGAUGGAGCAACGCCGCGUGAGUGAAGAAGGUUUUCGGAUCGUAAAACUCUGUUGUUGGAGAAGAAUGUAUCUGAUAGUAACUGAUCAGGUAGUGACGGUAUCCAACCAGAAAGCCACGGCUAACUACGUG
rnacentral:rRNA from 1 species